rnacentral:tRNA from 1 species
UCCCAGGUGGCUCAGUGGUAAAGAAUGUGCCUGCAAUGCAAGAGACCCAGGUUCGAUCCCUGGGUUGGGAA